GCAACUAGGCCCUGACUUGCGCUGUCAAAGUUGACCUGGAAAGGCACGUCAGAGAGGGUGAGAGCCCCGUACGUGGCACCGCUGUCACGGGCCGCUAUUGCCUUCAGAGAGUCGGGUUGUUUGGGAAUGCAGCCCAAAGUGGGUGGUAAACUCCAUCUAAAGCUAAAUACUGGCACGAGACCGAUAGCAAACAAGUACCGUGAGGGAAAGGUGAAAAGUACUUUGAAAAGAGAGUCAAAAAGACCGCGAAACCGUUAGGAGGGAAACGAAUGCAGCUGAAUUGGCUUUGUUUCAGGCUCAGGAGGAUGUUGGGUUUCGAUGCCAGCUGCCAAAAGCCGAUAGGUUUUGAUAGUUGGAUAGUGUUCAACUCCUCUGCAUUCCUGUGCACGAGCUGGCCAACAACAGUUGUCGGUGGCUGACGAGGGCGGUUGGGUAGGUAGUUCUCGGAAAUUAUCCGAGAAAACGUAUAGCCAGCUGUCUGGUAGUCUGCUGACGACUGAGGAAAACUGGCAGCGCAGGCCCUCUGGGUUUGGGCCGCUUCUGGUCGUUCUGGGCACCACUCGUGGGACUGCGUGCAGUGCCAUGUGAUGGCUGUCUGCUCGAGCGGGAGACUGGUCACACCUUGUGCUGUAGUUGUUGGUGUUCAAAUGGCUGCAUCCGACCCGUCUUGAAACACGGACCAAGGAGUGCAACAUGCGUGCGAGUCUUUGGGUGUCAAACCCUGUGG
rnacentral:rRNA from 1 species